rnacentral:lncRNA from 1 species
AGUCAUGUCGUCCACAGUGGCUCCAGCCAGCUGCAUCAGAGGCCAGUAAAACAGGGCCGUUGGCAUCUUGGUCAGCAGGUGCUCAGGUGCCGCAGCUUCAUCCCUCAGAAAUAGAGAUGCUAUCGAGCUAACCACCACUGUAUCCCUGACGCUCUCGUUGUGCUCUUUCUUGUCGUCGUCGUCGUGUUUCCCCGCAGACGGCCCCGACCUGACGCAUAUUUGGGAGAGCAGCAGGUUGCACAUCUGUAAAUCACAAGAGGGUGAGAACAAAAGACGUGAGCUAUCACAAACUCUACCUGUAAAACGUUAAUACGGUUUGUGUCGUUUGCAGUGAUAAACUGCCAAAGGGAGCUACUCAUGAGCCACACCAAGGUACUGGGAAGGCUGUCGGGAAAACUUUCAGUGUCGUCUGCACGCCCC